GCAACAUCAAUAUCUUGCAAUCCUCCCAACGGCAGUGGUAGCGGAUUGACCUGGUCUCAACGGCAGCAACAUCACAACGACCCAUUUCCUAUUACUGAUUCGACGGCGCGGAGCAGUGGCAGCGGUAACAUCUGUUGACCGAUUUGGAGGGGAGCAGAAUAACAGUGAGCAGCAAAGUGUGGACUGGUUCAACAUCAGCCAACAUAAUCGCCCCAACAUCAGCCAGACCGACUGGUUUGAGCUCCUUCCAUGCCUCCCUAACUAUCUUUGCAAGCAGUUGAGUUGGCUUGAACUUUCCUGUACAACUGAAGGUCCUUCUCGAGCGUGUGCAGCUUGAUGUAACAUCAUGCAGUUUGCGAUGGGGAAUCAGUGUUUAGUAGGAACAACUUAGUGCAUAUGUAUUUUGUGUGUACUGACCUGAUGCAAAUAUAUUCAUGUGUAAUGCCAGACAAGGUACAAAGGUAAUGUAGAUUCUGUGUAAUGAUUCGA